UAUUCCUGAAUGAUCCAUAUUGUCUGAAUUAACUUAUUAUUAGUCAGCUCUGUGAAAAUGCCAGCUUUUUCAGAUUUAGGGCAAAAUACACUAGUCCCUUUAGCACAUGUGAGCAAAUCCUCUUGGCAUUUGAGUGUCGGAGGACAGAAAACAGAAACUAUGAACCCGACAACAUCACAGAUUCCGUUAUCCGUGCGUUAUGCAAGGUGGUUCUGAUCACGAGUAAGCGCAUGUUUUGCUGAUAUUGAACGUAGAAGUGCCUCUUCGAUUGUUUAACUUGCCACAAGAGCAUCAUUUGGUUUUAAAGUUUUUUCAGUUUUUGCUUAUUAAGGUAUAUAAAUAGUGCCCAUACACGACUACGAACACCUCCGCCUUUCAGCAAAAACAAAGAAUCUUAACUAAUUUCUAAGCUCUUAUUGUCUUUAAUGCUUUGUUUGGGUAACAUUGUUUCGACUAUCUCCAUUCGACCCUCCGCGCUAGCGGCUUUUUUGAGCUCAGCAUUUAUGAUUAAUAUUCUAAUACCAGCAGAUGUGAGUUCCUCGGCCUAUACCUACAAUAUUGGCAAAAAAGAAUGCNUUUUUAGGUAUUCUAAUACUACGUUUUCUUCAUGCUGUUAUGUAUUUAUNAGGAUUACUUUCAACUGAUGCUCCCGACACUGAGUGGAUCUGCUAUGCAAAUAAACAAGAAACGAUGACAAUAACUGAUAACAUGCCAAUACCAAAUGAUCCCUCUUUACUGCAGUCGAAAUAAUAAACCUUUAAGUCUUAACUUAAGACCUCUUUUAAACAAGAAACCCAAACAUUCACGAAAACCAAAACAUUCAAUCCAAACAAUUAACCCUAAAGUUAAAUCCCGGGCUUUUCACACCUUCAAACAGUCCUGCUUUCGUCCAUUUUUUUAGGUGACAAACUUGCACGUUCUUUUGUUUUGUCGUUUAGUUCAUCUUCUGCUAAACAAGGAUUGAUUAAUAAACCCGAAAAUAAGCCCAAGUCCCAAUAAAGACAUUUCGUAGAAGAAGAUGUUCUGAUUAAAUCUCGAUUGCGCUAAUAACACUUCGACUAAACAUCAAUUGUCCAAUUCAAAACAUCUCAAGNGUAUGUUUUCGGUAAACCUCUGUUUAUUUAUAUUCUGUAAGAUAAACAAUUCCUUACGAUACGAAAGCUCCGUAACUUCACUUCUGCAAUCAUUCAUUGAAAAGAACGCUUCGGUAACAUUAUAGGAAAUCGUAUCGAAAACGUUCGGCCGUUCCAACAACACAAAAAAAUGUCGGCCAUAAGUGAUUUUCUGCAUCGACUCGAAACAGAUUCGUCCAUCAGACACAAAUCAUUGCUGAGUUUGAAAAGUNGAGGAAAAAGUAUGGGGAAAACCAAGCUGGGGACGCUCAUUAUCUGGGUUGGCCCUGUGGAAAGACGCCACACAAAAAGCCGGGACAAGAGUCUUCCACUGUCCAGCACUCAGCAGUCACAGGAGAUUUCUUAUAAUGUUUACCGUUUAGCACNGCAAAGCAAAGUCAGAUCCCGAAUAUUGAGAUAAAACUAUACCCAGAAAUCAUAACAUAAAAUGACAGGACAAUGACCUUAAACAAGUGAAAUAGACCACUAAAACGGAAACGAAAAUACUGUUGUAAACUCAGUCCACUACCCAAAGGCGUCAAGCUUGUAUGUGGAUACCUGUAGUACAAGUGAUCNAUCCAGUAGGCAUGUUUUGACUUCUUGUAAAAGAGACAGACUCUAAAACAAAAUAAAGGAAUUUUUUUUAAGAAAUGGGAAAGAUACCAGCAAACCGGCAUAGGACAUUUCAUGAUGCCUUUCUUUUUUUUUUUUCUUUUUUCCAUUUCAGCCAAAUAGUGCACAUUUCACCAUGAUUCAACAAAAUCACACAUGCUGUCGCUCACGUUAAUAUAAAUUCAAAUUAAUCUUUAGUAUGAGAAUGAUCUUGUGUUUUCCUUGCUGAAAUAAAGAAUUAUUGUUUGGCCCGACAAUA
rnacentral:lncRNA from 1 species